CAGCAGUGGCAGAGUGUCUGCAGCAGGUCCGUCAGCAGCUGAAGAAAAUUCAGGAAUUGGUGCAGAAAUUCACCUACAACAACGACCCCCUCACUCUGGGCAAGAGCCAGCUGGAUGAGCAGGCCCUUUCACUCUUCAAAAACCUUAUAUUAAAUUCUCUUGUGGUGGAGAGACAGCCUUGUAUACUGUGGCAUCCCCGGAGACCCUUGGUGUUGAAAAUGGGAGUUCAGUUCUCAGUCAAGAUCAGUCAAACUCCCUGAACUGAACUCUCAACCCAAGGUCAAAAUCUAUAUCGACAAGU